UUGAGCCCCCUUUUUCUGUUUUUUCUGUUUUUUUUCUUUUUUUCCUUUUUAGUUUUAGUUUUAGUUUAGAUUUAGUUUUAGUUGUAGUUUUAGGUUUAGUUUUAGUUUUAGGUUUAGUUUUAGGUUUAGUUUUAGGUUUAGUUUAGUUUGAGGAAAGAAGAAGAAGAAGAAAAAAGAGGAGAGGAGGAGAAGAAGAAGAGGAAAAAGGAAAGGAAGAAGAAGAGGAGGAGGAGGAGGAGGAGAAGAAAAAAGAAGAAGAGGAAGAAGAAGAAGAAAAAUGAGGAGAGGAGGAGAAGAAGAAGAGGAAAAAGGAAAGGAAGAAGAAGAAGAGGAGGAGG
rnacentral:lncRNA from 1 species